GACACAUGGUUGAAAUCUCUCCGAUCAGUCAACGUCGACCACGUUUGACAGAAUAAUUUGACUUCAGUGAGCCGCGCUUGUGAAGAACGCUCUAGACGUUCCAGGUCCGCAAGAGACGCUUCCAGGCACGGAUGAGGAAUUUUUAGCUUUGACGCGAGCUCGGGAAAAAGCAAUCCUUUUUUUUUUUUUUUUUUUACAAGUAGAAAAUCUGAAAGACCGUAACCGAGGCGACGGCCCAAACAUCCCUCUAACUCCUCACGGACAACUUUUACUGGUGCUUUUUUUGCGAGAGCUUGUUAAAGCGAGUGCUCAACUUUUUUGACUGACGGACGGAAGGGAGGACGGGGAACGGGUCGGACCCCAUUCCUGAACGGACUCAUGCGUCAAGGCUGCAACCAGACCUGCAACAAAAUACCUUUUGUUUCAAUAAAGCGCAAAAGUAUUGAUUACUACCGUAACCGCAAGUUGGUCGUAGUGGUAAAACAAGGACUUAAAACGUGUUUGCAACCCAAAAUAAUGAAAGAGCCAUAGUGGACAAAAAAUAAAACCGUCUGGAGCCACAAAAAAUUAAAAAAUAUCUAUUUAAAGGCCUAAUGAAACCCACUACUACCGACCACGCAGUCUGAUAGUUUAUAUAUCAAUGAUGAAAUAUUAACAUUGCAACACAUGCCAAUAUGGUCUUUUUAGUUUACUAAAUUGCAAUUUUAAAAUUUCACGCGAAGUAUCCUGCUGAAAACGUCGCGGUAUGACGUCACGGAUUGUAGCGGACAUUUUGUUCCAGCUCGAUCCUAUCUAUAAGUCGUCUGCUUUAAUCGCAUAAUUACACAGUAUUCUAAACAUCUGUGUUGCUGGAUCUUUUGGCAAUUUGUUUAAUUAAUAAUGGAGACGUCAAAGAAGAAAGAUGUAGGUGGGAAGCGGUGUAUUGCAACACAAAUAAUAAUGAUAAUAAUAAUGGAUUACAUUUAUAUCGCGUUUUUCUAUUGUUGGAUACUCAAAGCGCUCACAGAGAAGUUGGAACCCAUCAUUCAUCCACACCUGGUGGUGGUAAGCUACAUCUGUAGCCACAGCUGCCCUGGGGUAGACUGAUAGAAGCGUGGCUGCUAGUUUGCGCCUACGGCCCCUCCGACCACCACCAAUCAUUCAUUCAUCAUUCAUCAUUCAUUCACCAGUGAGCGGCAUCGGGGGCAAGGGUGAAGUGUCCUGCCCAAGGACACAACGGCAGCGCUUUUUUGGAUGUCAAUAGGUGGGAAGCGAACCUGCAACCCUCAGGUUUCUGGCACGGCCGCUCUACCCACUAUGCCAUGCCGCCCCAAACACAGCCGGGGUUUCCUUGUUUACGUUCCCGAAAGAUGACGGUGAAGCUUUACUUUGGAACAGAGCGAACAUGGUUCCCUACCGCAUGUCAACCGGCAGGUUUCGGUGAGGAAAUUGUGGUAAUAAGUCGGCUCUUACCGUCGACAUUAGCGGAGCUUGCGUCGUUCCUCGUGCACCUGUCAAAAAGGCAGCUGGGGACUCUUUUGCAUCCUCCGACCGGCCGCCCCUGAACGUGGGAUGCUUCCACCGUGGAGGAGGGGGGAAAAAAAGCUCAGCCCUGUUGCGAUCCUUGACUUGGAUCUUCACAUGUUGUUUAUUUUUCCAUCUUUGUUUCAUUCUCCGUCUGACCGGUUUAUUUCCUGUUUAGUCUGUCACCAUGGUAGCUCAUUAGUUCACCUGCCCCUUGUUAUCUACGCACACCUGUUUCUUCUAAUCACCUCCCUUAUUUAAACUCGCCCCUUUUCGUUAUUCAUUCUCGGAUCCUAAUUUGCCUACGUGCAACCGUGACGACUCUCAUCCUUCUACUGUAUGUAUUUUCUCGCUAGCUCUCACGCUAUGCCACUUGUUUAUUCCAGUUUUCAUAUGGACGAUUUGUUUUCUCGUCUGUGCUCUCGAGCCAAGUUUUAGUCUCCCAGUGUUUUAUCCUAGCUUUCACGCUAGCGUCUUUUGUUUGCCUUCUCUUCACACCAGUGUUUUUGUUCCUAGCCUUUUUAUUAUUUAAUAAAUCCAUUUAUAUCUUACCUCUGCUGUGUUCUGCUUCGACGCAUCCUUGGAAGAACCACACCGGCAUUACCAUGCCGAAGAAGAGUCCUCACAAGCCCGGCCCCAACGGCUGCCUUCACUACGCCUCGUCGAGACACGUGGUUUCCCUCAGAGACACUGGCGGUCACAACACCCGUGGCCACACCCCUCCGACUUUCAGAAAGGGGAAAGAACACGUCCUCCCCCCACCGGGAGGGCUCGGAGGAGACGAUUGGCGCAGUCCAGACAGAACGAAGGUCAAUACGGAGGCACACUUCCUGCUCGGGCUCUUUUAGUCAAUAGAGCCAUCUGGCAUCGCUAUGGAAACCGAGAACAGCGGCUCCAGGUGAUGAAAAGAUGACGGGUCACAGUGUGCUAAAAUCUUGUAGUCUUUUAUUAAAGUCUGUCUAAAAUUG